AUGCAUCCCCUGAAGACCAUUUCAGGAUUGUUCAUCUGACUCUGCCCCUGACCCAUGGCUUCCAGGGAGGCUUCUGGUGUUCUGGAUAUAUCCAGGAGAAGAUAUUCCAACAUGUGCUUUUAAGCCAGGAGUUCCAAACCCACUCUAACAGAGUAACUUCACAAACUCUACGAGGAGAAGGAUCACAAGGAUGAAGAAGCCAACCAUGCUGAGGAGGGAUUUGAGCAUGUGUGGGAGGAUGGAGACAGUGGUCACCAAAAGCUGGGGAAGGCAGAGGUUGUCUUCCAAGGAGAGGGACGUGUCUAUCCUGUUAAAAUUCAGGCUGUGAGACCAAAGGAAAAAAAAGGUUACAUUCAAAUUUCUUACUCGGGUUCUAAUAUGCGAUUGAAGAGAUUUCUAAAAAGCUCAU